rnacentral:misc_RNA from 1 species
UUAACUAUUAAGUUCUUCUCAGACUAUACUGUAUACGUGGUUUUCAAAUCCUCCGGCGGGAGACCCGCCGAGGCAACAGAGGUACGGUAGACAAAGGGUGGGAGAUGUACCCCGGAGGGCAGGUUCUCUCUAAUGAUCCUUCCGCAGGUUCACCUACGGAAA